rnacentral:rRNA from 1 species
GAUGAACGCUGGCGGCGUGCUUAACACAUGCAAGUCGAACGAAGCACUUUAUUUGAUUUCCUUCGGGACUGAUUAUUUUGUGACUGAGUGGCGGACGGGUGAGUAACGCGUGGGUAACCUGCCUUGUACAGGGGGAUAACAGUUGGAAACGGCUGCUAAUACCGCAUAAGCGCACGGCAUCGCAUGAUGCAGUGUGAAAAACUCCGGUGGUGUAAGAUGGACCCGCGUUGGAUUAGCUAGUUGGUGAGGUAACGGCCCACCAAGGCGACGAUCCAUAGCCGACCUGAGAGGGUGACCGGCCACAUUGAGACUGAGACACGGCCCAAACUCCUACGGGAGGCAGCAGUGGGGAAUAUUGCACAAUGGGCGAAAGCCUGAUGCAGCGACGCCGCGUGAGCGAAGAAGUAUUUCGGUAUGUAAAGCUCUAUCAGCAGGGAAGAUAAUGACGGUACCUGACUAAGAAGCACCGGCUAAAUACGUG